UCCUACGGGAGGCAGCAGUGGGGAAUCUUGCGCAAUGGGCGAAAGCCUGACGCAGCCAUGCCGCGUGUAUGAUGAAGGUCUUAGGAUUGUAAAAUACUUUCACCGGGGAAGAUAAUGACGGUACCCGGAGAAGAAGCCCCGGCUAACUUCGUGCCAGCAGCCGCGGUAAUACGAAGGGGGCUAGCGUUGCUCGGAAUUACUGGGCGUAAAGGGCGCGUAGGCGGACAGUUUAGUCAGAGGUGAAAGCCCAGGGCUCAACCUUGGAAUUGCCUUUGAUACUGGCUGUCUUGAGUUCGGGAGAGGUGAGUGGAAUGCCGAGUGUAGAGGUGAAAUUCGUAGAUAUUCGGCGGAACACCAGUGGCGAAGGCGACUCACUGGCCCGAUACUGACGCUGAGGCGCGAAAGCGUGGGGAGCAAACAGGAUUAGAUACCCCGGU
rnacentral:rRNA from 1 species